GCUGGCGGCGUGCUUAACACAUGCAAGUCGAACGAGGCCCUCUUUUCGGAGGGGGUUCUAGUGGCGAACGGGUGAGUAACACGUGGGCAACCUGCCCCCGGCUCUGGGAUAACUCCAAGAAAUUGGGGCUAAUACCGGAUAUGUCCGCUGACCGCAUGGUCUGGUGGUGGAAAGGGUUUCCGGCUGGGGAUGGGCCCGCGGCCUAUCAGCUUGUUGGUGGGGUAGUGGCCUACCAAGGCGACGACGGGUAGCCGGCCUGAGAGGGUGACCGGCCACACUGGGACUGAGACACGGCCCAGACUCCUACGGGAGGCAGCAUUGGGGAAUAUUGCGCAAUGGGCGGAAGCUUGACGCAGCGACACCGCGUGGGGGAUGACGGCCUUCAGGUUGUAAACCUCUUUCAGCAGGGACCAAGCGGAAG
rnacentral:rRNA from 1 species